GUCUACAUAGAUUAUUUUUGUAAAUCGCGAUGCUGUUAACUUCGAGAAGGAAAUUCUUUUUUCUGUAGUCG
rnacentral:tRNA from 1 species